CCCAUUCUCGCCACUCUUUUAUUCAUGGACGCACUUGCCUCACAAACUGGCAAAAGCUAGUUCCUAAAAAUGAAUAUUUGUUUUGCACACAUGUGCGAUUCUUGGCGCGUUUCCGACAGAAACCAUCCAUGUUAGAAGUACUUGCAAUUUGGUAAAUGCGAUCCCACAUAAACCUUAUCGGGUUAUUACGCAUGGCAAGGCAAAAGGCAGGGAACAUUAGCAACAAUUUAGAUCCUGUCAUCUAGGAAAAGCUCAGUAAAAACAACUCGUGCAGACUAUUGUUUGAGUGAUAUCAAACACCGGAAAAUGAGCACGAGAUAGCUCAAGAACCUCAGACGCAUUUAAAAUUCAAAUUCGGCAGGUUUGCCCAUACACAGCCAUUAUCCACCAUUUUAGGCCAUUUAAAAAUGCUUAUGAAAUUGUAGCGGUCUUGGAUGGUCUUGCUAUCGGCAGCAUAUUAACGAUACAAACGCACUAACACCUGCCUAGCAUUUCGUUUGAAAACUGCGAAAGGGUCGCACUGUUUUGAAAAAAAUAAGCUUCGCCCAUUGAAAACCUCUUAUCCGCUAGUAUGUUUGUUAUGCACGUCGCGCGGCUUUUUCUCUUGAAUGAUGGCGAAAUGUUCACCUGCGUGCGACACGUUACGUGUGCUAUUGUGCUAGAUAUAGAUGUCUUAUGAGUUUGCUUGGCGCCUUUAUGGUAUGUAGGCGCGCUGUUCGGCUUAUUAUACUAACUUUUAUUAUGUCGUUAGCUUGGCGUCAAUGAAGACAUAUUUGAUGAAGAAUAUUUACUGUUUUCCUUCGAUAAACCAAAAAAAUUUUAACAUUUAUUUAUUUCCCACUUUCCACCUAGCGGUUGUGUUGUUCCUUUUUGUACUUUAGCUUAGCAGGUGACUUGAUGUACAAAACAAUUUCUAAUGCAUUAGAGUCUGCCGCUAACUCGGAAUCCCAUUAUGUCAUUUCGUUGUCAAAUAUACUUUAAUGAACUGCUUCAAUUACCAGUCUAUAAGCCACCACUGUUUUCGCGUAUAAACGCUUCGUAUCAUUCUUAAUUUCAUGUUUUUUAUCAACCGAGUCCCGCCUUCUUAUCACUCAUUCAUCUAGCUUUCCUAUUCUCCCGAAGCCUCGAUCAUUUCAUAUUUAUCUUAUUUCUUGUCUGUCGUUUGUCUGAGCCCCCGAACUCUUAUUAUUUCCACUUUGUGGUGUUAGCCCCAGUCACUUAAUAAGCACAUUGUGGAGAUACAACAAUGAUUUUACAGAUUCUACAGCUCUCGUAUAGUAAGUUUCAGGUGAUUUUAUUUUCGAAAAUUAUUAUGGAAAAAUUAAACUUCUAAGGAAACGAAAGAAAGUUAACGGCUAAAGCUCGUUUCUUGUCACAUGUCCACUUGUUUCACGCAUGCGUAUUACAUGUUUCUCUAUGCAUGUAUCUCACGGAACACCGGCAUUUUUUACAAAUUGCGACACCACCUUUCCCCCAUACUCGGACAAAUUAAUCACAAUUUAUCCUUACCUGUGCUAUUGUUGCAUGGGGUAGUGCCUAUAAGAUCCACAUGAAACGACUACAAAUAAAAAAGCAUAUUGCUUGGGUAAUAUUCUUUGAAACGUAAUAUGGCGAAUUCACUCCAGCUGCCCUUCCGCUACUCAAUCUUCUUGACGCUAACACUAUAUAACAACUACAGGUAUAGAGAACUACAGAUAUUCAUGUACAACUUGCAUAAGCAAAAGCUACCCCAUAUUUUCACCAAUUCGUUAACCUAUGCCAAAUACAUACACCCUUAUAACACAAAAUGCGCCUCCCAAAACUGCCUAUACAAACCUCAAAAGUCUAUCUACCCGCGGGGUCUUAAUAGUGACGACUUUUUUUUUAGUACGAACCCGCGUAGAGAUAUAUAAAAUUCUAUUUGUCCAUAGCGCGCGCUAUUAUAGAAUGUGCGAUUUUUUCUCAGUUGUAAUGUUUUUGCGUAAAUAAGCUUGUAACGAACGAUUCACCUUCUUCAGUCUGCCUUGAAGAAGUCUUAAUUAAUAAGACGAAAAUUUGGCAGAGUCGAAUUCCAGUUUUUGGUGUAUUAUUUAUUUAUUUGUUUGUUUGUUUAUUUAUUUAUCGCUUUUGCUUGUUCGGACUCCGCGUCACGUGGUUUCGACUCUUCUCAUUCUCUGCGAAGUAUCUUGGAGGUUUUUUUGGCAAGUUCAAGCUAUGAAUUGUCUAAAUUACCUUCGUAUGAGUUCUCGCGGCUAUCAAAGUGUAUUUUUCACUGGUGUGAGAUCAUUUUCACUACAGUUUUCUAGAGUUAUAGAGGGAAUUUAGCAUGGAUAUCUUAUCGAUGGCGACUGACGAUGCUGUCAACAAAAACGCGAGACGUUUGGCGUUGCCAAAUAUCCCCAGAAAUUUGUGGCUACCUGUGGUCGUCUCCUCCGAUGUGGAGUGUUUAUUUGCCCGAGUGAGUGAUUGUCAAACUAACCCAACGCCUAUCAAGGCGGGUAUACAAAUCAACCCAAUGCCUAUGGACUGGUAGCAAAUUGGAUUCAAUGAUCCGUCCAAACCCCAUUGCCUGAUGGCUGUAUGGCUUUGGGCGAAGAAACAGCAUACAAAAUUAAACAAUACUAUACAAAUCUGAAAACCAGCUGACCCAAUGCCCAAGAUGGGCGGAAAUUUGUUACAAAGGGCCAGUGAGCCUCAUUACAAUUGCCAAUUAUUGACAACAGUCAAAUCACAACUUUGAAAGCUGCCGUCUAGACUUCCUUUGAAGAAACGAAAAAAAGAGCUGCUCCCAAUUCAUCGAAAUUAGAUGAUCUUGCAAACAAUUACAAAAAUCAUUCAGCCAAUUUUAUUGCCUGGCUAAAACAAUGAAUACAUGUAUUCCUAGAACAAACUUUCAAUACUCUUGCAGAAGUUAUGGCUAUCAAUCCAGCUCUAAUGCUAGAAAAACUGGCUCUGAAUUUCUAAAUUUAAGAGGAGGCAUAGAUUGCAAUGGCUGUAGCUAGAAAUGUAUUUUACCCUUUUCAACAAUACGCUAUAUAAUAAAAUAAUGGGAAAGCGGGGAUGGGAAAAAUGUACCGCUGGUGGUCGACUUAUUUGUCGUACCAAACGCAUAGGGACAGCUUGCUAGAGGAGCCAAAACAAGGCAAACAAAACCAGUAGAGGAAAGAAAUGCGUAGCUUAUUAAACACUAACAAGGUCAUUACACAUUACUUUGGAGUAAAUUUAUCCUAGAGCCCGUGAUCUAACAAUCCAGUCUCCGAGCACUUCACUAUCUUGAAGAUACUUCUAGUUUUAGUGUAAUAGCGGAGCCGGAGCCCCAUAGGUAUAGAAAUAUGGUAUAGCUAUGCGACUCAGUUUUUGUGGUAAUCGUGUGGGCACCCUUUGGUGUCACAAUCCAGUAAUCCAGCCGCUCAACUCCCAGGCCCCACUUGGUCUUACGCGUUUUUACCGCCUCAUUUUAGUGCUUCAAAGUUCGUAUGUUCACAGAAAAAAAAGGCAGCUUGGAAAUUGUUUUAAAUGAGAAAAUAUGCGGAUUCAAGUGGGCUGAAGUCUUUGAGGAACCGUUUUGUCUGAAGUACGAGCCGAUAGUAAAAUCUACCCGAGUGUUCGUGAAUCCCGCCCGUCGCAGCAGAUAAAAGAGGACUAUGAUUGAAGAGAGACUCUACACUAUCAUUCGACUAAUAUUCAUUCACGUCUAUAUCUAUGUAAGGAGAUCCUGAGAAGGAAGGGCCUUUGGAUUGAUGUCUGUUUCCAGCUAUAAAAAAUAUUCACUUGUGUCGACGAGUUCCUUACUUGCAGAAAGUAGACAAGUUCACAGCUUACAACAAAAAGCGAACACAAUCACACAAGCGACAAACAGAAAGCGACGAAAAAAUACACUGCCAAGGUAAGACGAGAUUUGUAUUGAGAAUAUGACAGUUGCUUUUCUUUUAUUGUUGUGCUUUUAUAAUGCUCAUUUGUAUUGAGAAUAUGACAGUUGCUUUUCUUUUAUUGUUGUGCUUUUAUAAUGCUCAUUUGUUCGUGUUAUGUUUUCCGUGACCGAUCGCUCAAACCAGAGCGCUCAAACUAAAACACAGUACCAGUUUGACGUCUAGAUGCCAUAUCAAAGUCAUCUAUCCUUGUUUUGAUUGGCUAAAAUGCCAUCUACUUGAAUUCCGAUUGGCUUAUAAUUUUGGCUUGCACUUGAAUGGUUUUUAUUCCACUGACAAUCGCCAUGAAAAUGUUAAAUUCGUAAUAAAUUCGUAAGUACUUAGUUCUAUAAGUUCUAUAAAUUCAGGCUUAUAUUCCUCAAGGUAAAACCAACCAAGGACUACCUGAGGGCCGUGAUUGAUGCUAAAGGCUGGAAGGCAUGAAAAAUAGGCGAUUGUCUUUAAAAUAAAAUAGGAGAUUUCUUACUUUGAUACAGGCUUGACAUUUUUAUUUAGCACUUUUAGUAAUAUCAAGGAUAUUUUUCCACAAACUGCUUCCCAAGUAAAAUUUUUGUGUAUUUUAAUUUCCUUGGUGGUGGAGUAUCACUAGUAAGUGAUAGAUGAAACUUUCGUAUGGCACCUGAAGUGUAUAACUAAUCAUAAUAUAACUACACUAAUACAAGUGCACAUUUAUGGAACUUCUAUAAAGAAGAGGUUUUUUUAUUAGAGCAAGGUGCUUAAAUUAUAUAACAACAAACUUGUGCUUUUUCAAUAAUAAAUCUGUAAAGAAAACAGUUUUAAAUCCAACCUAAAAUGGGGAAAUGGUAAAAUGUUAGGAAAGUGCUCAGUCAAGCUAUUAUUGCAUAUAUGUAAAUGUAUAUAUUUUUUUAAAGGUAGAAUGUUAGGAAAGUCCAAUAUUAUUGUAUGAGUGCUUGCUUGAUCCAUUUGGAGGGGCCAAUACAAUUUAUUAUUAAAUGGCAGUAACGUUGACAUGUUUAAUCUCAU